CACACAACUCUCUUCCUCUCGAACCUGAUGGCGUUUAGACUCUGCUCCUCAUUCAGCCACCAAUUACUAUUUCGAAGAUGACGAUAAGGAACAUGAGCCAUUCGUCUGUCUGCCAAUUCAGUGGAGCGACAAGGAGAAAGUGGAGGGAAGUGCAGUUGGUUUAUACUUGAGUGGAACCUCCGACCAUCGUCAAAGGUUCCUCUCAAGUACAAACCAGCUGCACUUCCGUCCACUUUCUCCUUGUCGUUCCACUGAAUUGGCAGACAGACGAACGACACAGGUUCCUUAUCGUCGUCUUAGAAAUAGUAAAUGGUGGGUUAACAAUGCAAUUACGACGAAACCGACGAAACCAAAUUUCGUCGUAAACGCCAUGUAAUAUUACGACGCAAGUACGUCGAAAAGAAAACUUUACAUCGACAUUACAACGAAUCAUGUUACCGUUGUAUUUAGGUGAAAAACUUAUCGAAGUUCGUUGUAAAGUCGUUGUAAAAAAACCAUGUAAAAUCCGUGUAAAAGUUUCCUUGUAAAAUCGUUGUUAUAUUUCAACUACCCAACUCGAAAAUUUCUCUAUAUAUAUGGCAUUUCCCACAAAUCUCUUCCUCACAACACACAACUCUCUUCCUCACAAGACCCAAACGGAAAAAAAAAUUUUUAAAAAAAAUAGAAGAAAAAAUGGUCGGUGGCGGUAGUAUUUACGAGUUACGAAGUUGGAUGUAUUUGCACAAAGAUUCCAACGGGAGAGUGACGAAUGCAUUUCUGAACGGGCUAGAGACAUUCAUGCACCAGGCGGGCUGUACACCGAUCACGCAGGAAAGCGGUAAGAUGUUCUGCCCCUGUUCAAAAUGCAAGAAUUCGAAAUUUGCACGUAGUGAAACUGUAUGGAAUCAUUUAGUAAACAGAGGAUUUACACCACAGUACUACAUUUGGUAUCAACAUGGAGAGGGUUAUGGGGGAAAUGAAGCUAGUAGUAGUAAUGCUAAUUUUGAGGAUGCUCAUCAUAAUGAAGAACCAAAUCAUGUGCAUAAUGAAUAUAAUUAUCAUCAAGAGGAGCAGAUGGUAGAUCAUGAUAGGGUUCAAGAUAUGAUUAGUGAUGCAUUUUUAGAAACAACUACAACAAUAGCUGAUGGAACUGGAAAUGUAGAAGAACCUAAUUUGGAUGCAAAAAGGUUUUAUGAAAUGCUAGAUGCUGCAAAUCAACCAAUCUACACUGGUUGUAGAGAAGGUCUCUCUAAAUUGUCUCUAGCAGCUAGGAUGAUGGAUAUUAAAACGGAUCAUAAUUUACCUGAGAAUUGCAUGGAUGCAUGGGCGGAGUUGUUUAAAGAGUAUUUGCCAGAAGACAACGUGUCUGCUGAAUCUUAUUAUGAGAUUCAGAAAUUGGUUUAUAGUCUUGGGUUACCCUCGGAGAUGAUUGAUGUUUGCAUCGACAACUGCAUGAUCUACUGGAAGGAAGAUGACAAGUUAGAAGAGUGUCGAUUCUGUAAAAAACCACGAUUCAAACCGCAAGGCCGUGGGAGGAAUAGGGUACCGUACCAAAGGAUGUGGUACCUACCAAUUACAAACAGAUUGAAAAGAUUAUAUCAAUCUGAGAGGACUGCUGCGUCGAUGAGGUGGCAUGCCGAACAUGUCCAGAGAGAUGGUGAGGUUGCACAUCCAUCAGACGCAAGAGCGUGGAAACAUUUCAACAAGGUACACGGAGCUUUUGCUACAAAUAUUCGGAAUGUCUAUCUUGGGUUAUGCACCGAUGGAUUUAGUCCAUUUGGAAUGUCUGGUAGACAAUAUUCUUUGUGGCCAGUCAUUCUUACGCCGUAUAAUUUACCGCCGGAUAUGUGCAUGGAACAAGAAUUUCUAUUUUUGGCCAUAUUAAUCCCAAGGCCGAAGCAUUCAAAACAGUCUCUUGAUGUUUUUCAUCAACCUUUGAUAGAAGAGCUAAAGCAAUUGUCGUCAGAAGGGGUGAGGACGUACGAUUGUUCCUUGAAAAACAAUUUUACGAUGCGAGCAGUUCUAAUGUGGACGAUAAGUGAUUUCCCUGCUUAUGGGAUGUUGUCUGGCUGGACAAUACAUGGAAGAUUAUCUUGUCCGUAUUGUCUUGGAUCCACAGAUGCUUUUCAACUGAAGAAUGGUAGGAAGAGUUGUUGGUUUGAUUGUCAUCGUCGCUUUCUUCUACUUGCCCAUCCGUACAGAAGAAAUAAGACAUUGUUUCGACACAAAAAAAUUGUCAGAGACAGUCCUCCUCCAUAUCUCAACGGCCAGCAGAUCGAAGCGGACAUUGAUUAUUACGGAGCUCAGGAAACAGUUAAGGUUGGAGGAAAUUGACAUGUUCCUGGAAAUAUGCCUGAUGGGUAUGGUGUAUCUCACAAUUGGCAUAAGAAGAGUAUAUUUUGGGAGCUACCCUAUUGGAAGGAUCUUCUCUUACGCCACAAUCUGGAUGUCAUGCAUAUCGAGAAGAACUUUUUUGAGAACAUCAUGAAUACAUUUCUUAACGUCCCUGAGAAGACAAAAGAUAACAAAAAGUCAAGGAUGGACUUACCUAAUAUUUGCUCAAGAAGUGAGUUACAUAUCAAGAGCAAUGGAAACGUUUCUGUUCCCAUCUUCCGGUUGUCAUCAGCAGCCAAAACAACCUUGUUUGACUGGGUUGCAUCGGAAGUUAAGUUUCCUGAUGGUUAUGUUUCAAAUAUGUCAAGAUGUAUUGAACGAGGUCAAAAGUUCUCCGGAAUGAAAAGUCAUGAUUGUCAUGUGUUUAUGCAACGACUGCUUCCAUUUGCUUUUGCCGAGCUCCUUCCAGCAAAUGUCCACGAAGCACUUGCAGCCAUCGGAGCAUUUUUCAGAGAUCUUAGCACACGUACGUUCAAAGAAGAAGUCAUCGAACAACUUCAUCAGAACAUUCCGAUCAUAUUGUGCAACCUGGAGAAGAUAUUUCCUCCUUCAUUUUUUGACGUCAUGGAGCAUCUAGUUGUCUACCUACCGUAUGAAGCAUUGCUUCGUGGACCUGUUCACAACGGAUGGAUGUAUCCGUAUGAGCGACAGAUAAAACAUUUGAAGGGGAAAGCAAGAAAUCUUGCAAAGGUAGAAGGUUCAAUAGUUGCGGGGAGUUUGACAGCCGAAACAUUUAACUUCACAUCAUACUACUUUGCUCCAACUGUUCGUACGAGAAAAAGAGUUCCUAGGAGAUAUGAUGAUGGUGGAGUACCGACAUCAUAUCCAAUUGAUGGUGUUCCUGACAUUUUCUGCGAAAUUGGACGGUUUGGUGGUAAAACGAAAGAAGUAUGGUGGUCAUGUGAAGAAGAUAAACAUAGUGCCCACACUUAUAUUCUGCUCAACUGCGAGGAUGCAAUGACCCGUUACUUUGAAAGGUAAAUAUUUUUAUGAAUGUUAAUUAUAUGAAUUGAAGUUAAUUAUGUAUGAUUUGAUUAUUUGUUCAAUUUGCAGGAUGUUUGUAUCUCAAGUUGAAGAAGCAAUACGAAGAAUAUCUGCAACUGAUGUGGAUACACGUAAAGAUAAGCACUUUGUCAAGUGGUUAAAAUCACAGGUAAUAUAUCUCAUACUAUUAUAUUAAUUAAGUUAGUGUUUAAGAAUAUAUAUAUGCUUUUUGCAGGUUGAUUACGACGAUCCUUAUUAUCCCGUAUGGUUUCACGAAUUGGUUCAAGGUCCAGUUGCAAAGGUCACCACAUCACCUAUGUAUUUCACACGAGGAUUUACCUUUCACACAUACGAGUAUGGGAGACAUCGGGUAACGAGUAACUACGGAAUAUGUGUGAAAGGUGAAACAGACUUUUACGGGAUAUUGCAGGAGAUUAUUGAAGUGGAAUUUCCGGGGUUAUUGAAGCUAAAAUGCGUCCUCUUCAAAUGUGAAUGGUUCGAUCCUGUUGUGAACCGAGGGAUUCGGUAUAAAAAAUUUGGUGUUGUGGAUGUCAAUUUUGGGAGAAUAUACAACAAAUUUGAGCCUUUCAUUUUAGCUUCACAAGCCGAGCAAGUUAGCUUCCUUCCUUAUCCUCGGCUUCGAACUUCCGGGAUAAACUGGGUAACUGCUAUCAAAAUUACACCUCGUGAACGCAUUGUCGUUGGAGAAGAACCGCCCUUGCAAGAAGAAGACGCUAUCACUGAAGUUGAGGUACCAGAACAACCAACUGAUGAAAUCCUUUUGAUCGACCCGCAAAACUUUCAAUAUGAAGAUAUUCCCGAAGAUGCGACAGAUGAAACACGUGAAGACGAGUUCGAGAGAAGUGACGAUGAUGAUUGUAAUGAUAGUGAUGAGAACGGAAACGAUUUAGAGUGAUGUAAUAGUGAUGAGAACGAAAACGAUGUAGAGUGAUGUAAUAUAUGUAUCAAAUGUUGGAUUUCUCUAUUGUAACAUUUUCUAAAAGAAAGAGUAAGAAGUAGUAUGAAAUAAGAUAUGAUGUUAGAUGAUAUGUGACUUUGGGGUUUAGGGAUUUCAUUCUCGGUGUUUAGGGUUAAGCGUCGUAAAAUCGAUGUAAAAAUAACACAGAAGACGUAAUUUCGUCGUAAAUGGAAAAACGCGGGCCUGGUAAUUUCAUCGUAAAUCGAAAAACACGGGCCUGGUAAUUUCGUCGUAAAUGGAAAAACGCGGGCCUGGUAAAUUCGUCGUAAAUGGAAAAACGCGGGCCUGGUAAAUUCGUCGUAAAUUUACGUCGCUUUUACGACGAAUCCUAAUCUAUAUAAGGAGACGCCGAGAGCGAGGCUGCCUCGCUCAUUCCUCCCAAAUUCCUUUGCUCUCUCUAAGGUAAACUCUCUCUUCUCUCUCUCUUUUUUUUUUUAAAUUAGUUUAGGUGAUUAGUUAGGUAACGGAAUUAGUUUAGGUGAUUAGUUAGGUAACGGAAUUAGUUUAGGUGAUUAGUUAGGUAACGGAAUAAUAUUUUAAUUAUGUCGUAAUUGAUUAAAUUUAUUUUAAUUAUUUUUAGAUGGCUCCUAGAAGAAAAUCAGCAGCACCUAGUUAUAGAGAUUUGUUUGGCGAUGAUGGUUCCGGUACAUCUUCUUCCGGUCCAUCGUCUUCCGGUCCAUCAUCCUCCACCGCAGUUCCAGACUCUCAGCCUUCUCAGAGAGUUGCUUGGAGUCCUCCUCCACCGCAGAUGCCUCCACCGCAGAUGCCUCCACCUCCUCCUCCAGCGGCUGCACCUCAGCCUAUCCCAGAAGGUGCAGUUCAUCCGGAUCUGUGUGUGCCUUCAUAUGCCCCAUUCGCGAGAUAUAUGGUGGAGGAUUUGCUUGCCCGGCCUGGACGGGAGGGUUUGGAUGUUCUAGACCCCGAUAAACCCCCAUGAACAUAUUGGUAAGUUAUAAAUUUUUAUUACAUUAAAAUUUAAAUUAUUUUUAUUUUCUAACGGUUAAAUUGUUUUCCUUUCAGGUUUGGGGCUAACAACCGUGUUGGCCGGAGCGUUUCGAAAACGAUUAAGGGUUACUACGACGGGGCAUAUCCGAACUGGAGCAAGACUCCAAAUUACGUUAAGAUCACUUGGUUUAAAAUGUUUACGGUAAGAUUUUUAAAUUUAAUUAAAUUUUCAUUUUUAAAUAUGUAUAUAUUUUUUAAAUAUUAUUAUUAAUUAUUAAUUGUAAUUUCUUCAAAAUUUUUAAUUUUGUUUCAGCAAAAGUGGCAUUGGUCUUUGGGAAUCACCGA